rnacentral:rRNA from 1 species
AACGAACGCUGGCGGCAUGCCUAACACAUGCAAGUCGAACGAGACCUUCGGGUCUAGUGGCGCACGGGUGCGUAACGCGUGGGAACCUGCCCUUAGGUUCGGAAUAACUCCCCGAAAGGGGUGCUAAUACCGGAUAAUGUCUUCGGACCAAAGAUUUAUCGCCUUUGGAUGGGCCCGCGUUGGAUUAGCUAGUUGGUAGGGUAAAAGCCUACCAAGGCGACGAUCCAUAGCUGGUCUGAGAGGAUGAUCAGCCACACUGGGACUGAGACACGGCCCAGACUCCUACGGGAGGCAGCAGUGGGGAAUAUUGGACAAUGGGCGAAAGCCUGAGCCAGCAAGGCCGCGUGAGUGAUGAAGGCCUUAGGGUUGUAAAGCUCUUUUACCCGGGAUGAUAAUGACAGUACCGGGAGAAUAAGCUCCGGCUAACUCCGU